CGAACGCUGGCGGCAGGCUUAACACAUGCAAGUCGAGCGCAUCCUUCGGGGUGAGCGGCGGACGGGUGAGUAACGCGUGGGCACGUGCCCUCUUCUACGGAAUAGCCUCGGGAAACUGAGAGUAAUGCCGUAUACGCCCGCAAGGGGAAAGAUUUAUCGGAGGAGGAUCGGCCCGCGUUGGAUUAGGUAGUUGGUGGGGUAACGGCCUACCAAGCCGACGAUCCAUAGCUGGGUUGAGAGGAUGAUCAGCCACACUGGGACUGAGACACGGCCCAGACUCCUACGGGAGGCAGCAGUGGGGAACCUUGGACAAUGGGGGCAACCCUGAGCCAGCCAUGCCGCGUGAUCGAUGAAGGCCGUAGGGUUGUAAAGAUCUUUAAGCUGGGAAGAUAAUGACGGUACCAGCAGAAGAAGCCCCGGCUAACUCCGUG
rnacentral:rRNA from 1 species